AGUUUGAUCAUGGCUCAGAUUGAACGCUGGCGGCAUGCCUUACACAUGCAAGUCGAACGGCAGCACGGAGCUUGCUCUGGUGGCGAGUGGCGAACGGGUGAGUAAUAUAUCGGAACGUACCCUAGAGUGGGGGAUAACGUAGCGAAAGUUACGCUAAUACCGCAUACGAUCUAAGGAUGAAAGUGGGGGAUCGCAAGACCUCAUGCUCGUGGAGCGGCCGAUAUCUGAUUAGCUAGUUGGUAGGGUAAAAGCCUACCAAGGCAUCGAUCAGUAGCUGGUCUGAGAGGACGACCAGCCACACUGGAACUGAGACACGGUCCAGACUCCUACGGGAGGCAGCAGUGGGGAAUUUUGGACAAUGGGCGAAAGCCUGAUCCAGCAAUGCCGCGUGAGUGAAGAAGGCCUUCGGGUUGUAAAGCUCUUUUGUCAGGGAAGAAACGGUGAGAGCUAAUAUCUCUUGCUAAUGACGGUACCUGAAGAAUAAGCACCGGCUAACUACGUGCCAGCAGCCGCGGUAAUACGUAGGGUGCAAGCGUUAAUCGGAAUUACUGGGCGUAAAGCGUGCGCAGGCGGUUUUGUAAGUCUGAUGUGAAAUCCCCGGGCUCAACCUGGGAAUUGCAUUGGAGACUGCAAGGCUAGAAUCUGGCAGAGGGGGGUAGAAUUCCACGUGUAGCAGUGAAAUGCGUAGAUAUGUGGAGGAACACCGAUGGCGAAGGCAGCCCCCUGGGUCAAGAUUGACGCUCAUGCACGAAAGCGUGGGGAGCAAACAGGAUUAGAUACCCUGGUAGUCCACGCCCUAAACGAUGUCUACUAGUUGUCGGGUCUUAAUUGACUUGGUAACGCAGCUAACGCGUGAAGUAGACCGCCUGGGGAGUACGGUCGCAAGAUUAAAACUCAAAGGAAUUGACGGGGACCCGCACAAGCGGUGGAUGAUGUGGAUUAAUUCGAUGCAACGUGAAAAACCUUACCUACCCUUGACAUGGCUGGAAUCCCCGAGAGAUUGGGGAGUGCUCGAAAGAGAACCAGUACACAGGUGCUGCAUGGCUGUCGUCAGCUCGUGUCGUGAGAUGUUGGGUUAAGUCCCGCAACGAGCGCAACCCUUGUCAUUAGUUGCUACGAAAGGGCACUCUAAUGAGACUGCCGGUGACAAACCGGAGGAAGGUGGGGAUGACGUCAAGUCCUCAUGGCCCUUAUGGGUAGGGCUUCACACGUCAUACAAUGGUACAUACAGAGCGCCGCCAACCCGCGAGGGGGAGCUAAUCGCAGAAAGUGUAUCGUAGUCCGGAUUGUAGUCUGCAACUCGACUGCAUGAAGUUGGAAUCGCUAGUAAUCGCGGAUCAGCAUGUCGCGGUGAAUACGUUCCCGGGUCUUGUACACACCGCCCGUCACACCAUGGGAGCGGGUUUUACCAGAAGUAGGUAGCUUAACCGCAAGGAGGGCGCUUACCACGGUAGGAUUCGUGACUGGGGUGAAGUCGUAACAAGGUAGCCGUAUCGGAAGGUGCGGCUGGAUCACCUCCUUUCUAGAGUUUGCACGAAUCAGGUAACUGGUUCACGCAUCAAAUGUUCACACUUAUCGGCUGUUAGUAAGAGAAGAAACAGUAGUCGUAGUAGCACCGCGUUGGGGCUGUAGCUCAGCUGGUUAGAGCACCGUGUUGAUAACGCGGGGGUCGUUGGUUCGAGUCCAACCAGCCCUACCA
rnacentral:rRNA from 1 species